CUGAACCAGCCAAGUAGCGUGAAGGAUGACUGCCCUAUGGGUUGUAACUUCUUUUAUAAAGGAAUAAAGUCGGGUAUGUAUACCCGUUUGCAUGUACUUUAUGAAUAAGGAUCGGCUAACUCCGUGCCAGCAGCCGCGGUAAUACGGAGGAUCCGAGCGUUAUCCGGAUUUAUUGGGUUUAAAGGGAGCGUAGAUGGAUGUUUAAGUCAGUUGUGAAAGUUUGCGG
rnacentral:rRNA from 1 species